rnacentral:rRNA from 1 species
AGUAACACGUGGGUAACCUACCCUGAUGAUCGGGACAACCCGAGGAAACUCGGGCUAAUACCGUAUGUGCCCCUUGACCGCAAGGUCACUUGGGAAAGGAAGCUUCGGCCUCCGCAUCGGGAUGGGCCCGCGGCCCAUUAGCUUGUUGGUGAGGUAACGGCUCACCAAGGCUAUGAUGGGUAGCUGGUCUGAGAGGACGAUCAGCCACACUGGGACUGAGACACGGCCCAG